ACACACACACACACGAGACAAAAUGAUCCACCCCGACACCUACAACAGACCGGGCCUGUCAUUUGAAUAAUAGUGACACAUGUGCUCAUUCAACAGUAAAUGUUGCACCAUGCGUGUCCGCAACGCUCAGAGGACCCCGACGCAUUAGCACGUUGGCGUCACGGGCCGGGGGCGUUAACCGUGUCAAGUGUGUGUGUGUGGGGGGGGAUAAUAAACUUCCUCCUGGGGUUUUCUACAAUGCUAAAAAUUCAACAAAUCUAUUUAAAGUGGACAAUAAAAAGAAGGACCAUCAAAGCAGCUUUGGCUCUCUAAAUCUCCUGACAUCGGGAUGAGCUGCAGGAUUUCUCGCAUUCGCAGGAUUCUCAAGAGAAUUUACACUCAUGCAGGCAAAGCUUCACACACGCAACACACACCCCCAGCUUUUUGCUGGGAGUAUUACAUCAUCCUCUAAUGUAAAAAUAGAGCCAGAGAUUAGGCCACUAGGCUACACGUGUGACAGCACGGCUUCUACGCAUAGUGCAUGCCGUCACUACCAAACACAAUUCAUCUCCACGGUUGAACAAAUGAAGCGUAUUAUUCAUUUUUUGUCUGUAUUGCGCCUUUUCAUUCCAGGCUUUAAGUCCCAGCCUGAGAGAAUUCACAAUGAUAUGUUGUUCAAACACGUGGAAUUUCCUCUUUCAACAUAACUGAGAACAGAAAAUCAAGCACCAAUCAGACGUGUCUAUUGUGGCGCUUUCUUACUUACAGCAAAAAAAAAAACACACAACACAGAAGCUUUGAGGUGAACAAUUCACGUAAAUUGCGUUAGCCGCCGUGGCGGCACUAAUUAACAGGGCUUGAGUCGUCUUCCGGCUCACUGACGACAGACAGAGAGGACACCGUGCAGAUGAAAGCCACGUCCCAGGCUCCCUCCUCCUCUCAUCCAUCGGGAUUCAACCAGGUCUUUGUCUUUGUCGUAAUCGAUGUGCGAGCUGAACAUUUGGUGCAUCCCGCUUGUUCACCGGGUGUAACGCGCUGUAGUAACAGCUGGAUCGCAGCGUUUUAUGUCUCUGAUUAUUUCUUCCUUUCGUUGGCCAUUACUCCCGGCAGGUAGUCACUAUAAUAGGUCACCGUGCAAGGCGAUGUUUGCCUUACAGUUUAACUAGAACAAAUACAGAGAAAUGUGGCUGCAGGUGUGGCCUGUUCACGGGCUGCAAGCGCCGUCAUCGUGUAACUGGACCGAUUAUUAAAGGAAAAGCAAUUCAAGAAUUGAUGAAAAGGUCUUAUCAGCUGUAUAUAGACAGAUUACCAGAUUGAUUGGUAACAACAAAACAAGUUCCUUCUCAUCACAUGAAUGAUGUAGUUCAUUUAUUAAUAGUAUCAUUAAGAUACACAAAAAUAUAAUAAAAAGCGGAUGUAUCUGAGUGGGUUAAAGGUUCAGGGAAAAUCUAUGAAUGAAUGAAUGAAUGAUUCUGCCAGCUUUCCCUGUCAUCAUGCAUUAUAUUUGCAAGUAUUUCUAUUAUGUAUGAAUAUUACAACUCAAAAAAGCUCAUUUUUGAAUAUGAGUAACCCAAUUAUUAUUGAAAGUCUGUGCCAUUUACAAUAAUCCAAUAGUCUCAUUGACACCUUAUACAACAAUUUCCUCAUCAAAAGGGUGUGUGUGUGUGUGUGUGUGUGUGUGUACAGCUGUGCAUAACAACUAAGGUGCAAGUGGGAUCCACAAAGCCCAUUGAUCAUUUUUGGAUGUUUUCCCAACUUUGAGGUCUUCUUUUGUUCGUAUUUCCAAAACGACCGAAGCUCUGUCAGGGACGCUCAUUGUUACUCAACAAAAGAAUCAAAUUCAGAGCAUCGUGUCAGACGCUGUCUGAGAGGUAUUCUCCACAUUCAAGUCUACAAACAGAAGUGUUUGUAUGAACCAGAAGAUCAAAAACUAGUAGAAAUACAAAUACCUGAAAGGACAGUACUCAUGGAUUGUCCCUCCAAACAUUAUCACUGCGUGAACACAAAGAUUACACACACAAAGCGUGAGUCAACAGGGAGAAUGAAUAGCUGGGUCACACCCUUUGAUAUCGGUUAUUGUCCAGAUGUAGUCAUUAUGCCGCUCUGCACCACCAAGCAGGUUACACUCUCUCACACACACACACACACACACACACACACACACACACACACACACACACACACACACACACACACACACACACACACACACACACACACACACACACACACACACACACACACGCAGUACACUGAGCAAAGAGCGCGUUCAAACACUCUGCAGUCCUUAAACUUUUUGUCCUUGAUAGUUGACACCACGAUUAGCUACUCUGCUUCAGCAAUGUUUUGCUGAGUAAAUGUGCCAGAGAUGCAGAACUGAGAGUUUCAGUGACGUGAUUCUAGUAUGAAUGGUGAGAAAUGGUGAGAAUAUGGAUUUACCAGCAAGGAAACGCCUGCCGGCCGCGAGGCUGAAGCACUCGGAUGGGGCUGCUAUGUGAAAGUCAUAUUGUUGCAGAUUGCACCAGACGUUAACGGUUUACAUUUAGUUCUGGUAAUUUUGAUGUACUAAAAAGGUGGAUGGUGCAGUGAAUGAAUAAAAUCAUUUUGUUUUAAUAUGAUAAAAAGGUAUUUCAUAAACAACCGUCUUAUCAGACCUUUAUGACCGCUCAUGUUAACGCUUGAGAAAGUAGCCAUGCGCAGGAAAAUUGAUUUGCAAUGGAACGUUAAAAAAUAAUUAAUAAUAAUGACAAUUUUUCUGCAGUAAAAUCUGUCCUUUCUGGCUCUUGUACUGCGUAUUUUGCAGCUUGUCUACAUGUUGUCACAACCUUUUGCGUUUGUAAAUCCCGCUCACAUUUGUAAAAUAAAAUGAAAUGCCUUUUCUUAUCAUCAAAAUUUUUUCUGCAGAUUUUUCUCCAGUUUACAGCGACUAUUCACAGAAUCAUUGCCACAAAUUCACCCUCUUGGCUCAGUCCACCCUGGCAGAUAAACAACGUCAGCACCGGCGAUAUCGGUUUAUCCACGCGUACUGAGUGGAGCCUCUCGGAAGUUCAGCUCUUUGCUUUGUAAUGAAUACGGGUAGGAAGGGGAGAGCUACACGUCGUCCUGUACUUUCCCAUGACUCCGCCUGCCGGUAAGAAACGCUCAGGCCUUUGUGUGAUUGAGUUAUGAGGCCUUCCAAGGUCACUUUUUACAUCCUGGCCCCUCUGUUUGCACUCAUGUCCAUCAUCCUUCUCGUGUGAACACACAGCGACAAAAGGAACCAAUUUGAGAUGUUUGGUUUUGCCGUGGAAUAAAUUCAGUGCCUGAUUGACCCGCCGGACUGAAUUUUGAUCAAAUGCUGGUUAAUCCGACCUUCAUUUGUUUUAAAAACAUUCCUUGGGCAUCCUCGUCUUCUCUCUUGCACGCCCCCCCCCACCCAGUUCCACCAUGGUCACGGCUAAUCCUCGGAGACUGGUCCGUGUUCGCCGGUCUCAGAUUACGCCUCCUAGUUCACAGGGAAAGCUGGAUCGGAGCGGACGUGCCUCCAUUUCACCACAAACACACACACACACACACACGCUGGUGUGAAAUAUGCAAAUCAGGGACAGAUAACCAGAUGGUAAAAUCCACAAGGAUUUUUACAGGCAGUGCUAUUCAUAGCUGUGCUUUUUGCUCUUCGUGUGGUCUUGUGUGUUCAUGGCUUCUUAUGGACGGUGGGAAAAGUGGCAUUCCAGUUGGAAUUGUAGCUGGUUACUCAAAUCGCGGCGGCAGGUUCUGGCAGGCCGAUCUAAAAAUCGACCGUGUUUCACACCUAUAAGCAAGCAGUCUGUGCACAGACUCAGAAGCCUUUUCUAAUUUGUUCACAAGAAAAUUGUUUUUGUUUGCUGUUUGCUUUUUUGAACUUUGAAGCCGAUCACUUUAACAUAACCACAGCCUGGAGUGGGUAGAAUACCGGCUACACAAUGUGUGACGCUUUCACCGUCACUUGCUUUUGCGCAGAGUCGACGGUUGCCGUCGGCAGCCCAACUGAGCAGACUGGAGGAACAUGUGGAAACCUCUCAAAAUAAACUUUCCCAGUGUUUUCUGUCCUUGAAAGCAAACCGUCCACAGACCAGUGGGGGAUGUCACAAUGACCACUUGUUAAAUACAGUCUUGGUGUGCGACCUUCAUCCCUUUCUAGGUGACAUAAUUCAAGACGGUCGAGUAGAGCUGGUCACGGCUCCUCUGAUGUUUUACUUCAGUGUAACCAGAGGACGCACGAUCCAGAUCGACUACAAUUUUACAGAGACCAGGACGCUUCUUGCUUUUGGGAGGGUGGCUCUUGGCAAACGGGGGGGGGGGGGGAUCGAUUCUUGAUCUGCAUUUGUAAAUUGCCUCGUGCAGCCGGACCGUCCGUAUGGAAUGCAGUUUUAGUCAAAAUGAAUAAAUACGUAAAUACAUGAAAUACGCAUUUGAAAUACAUCAUGAAAUAAAUAAAUGAGGCAAUAAAUACAUUUAAUUAUUUAAUGAUACUUUUAUUUCAUAAUGCCACUUUUCAUUUAUUUAAUUUUGACUAAAACGGCAUUCCAUACGUCCGGAGAAGGGACUCAAAAGGCCAAGUCGGGGGUUUAAGACACCAAAUGUCUGCAUGCUCUUUGAGCUCUGAUGCGAACAGACACACAGCUUGUAUGUACUUGUAUGCCUGUACUCCUGUUGGCUGAGUGUGUGUGUGUGUGUGAGCUCGUCCCUGAGAAUUACAGAUAAAAGGAGAGAAAUGAGAAACAAGACACUGCAUGGAUACAGAAUCGUGUGAAUUGUGAGAAAUCACAUGCAUGUCCCAGGAAACAGUCUAGCAUGUCGACCCGGACCGUCACUGCUCAACGUUCAGGGAAUCAUUUACCAAAGCCAGUGCCUCGUUUUGAAAUAGCUUCAUAAAUCAAUAUCCUCUGACCGGAGAAGCCUCCGACCUGCCACGCAGAGCCUUGGCGGGACAUGCAAACGUGACACGCAGCCAGCACAAGCCGCAACCUCGUCAUAACAACAACAACCCUGUCGUGACCUCGGCGCAUGGCGGGGGGGGGCGUGAGCGGUUCACAUGGUAAACAGGUCGCGGAGAGAAAGCGGGGGAGUGAGCAAACUGUCGUCGACUCGCCAACGGCGCGGCAAUGUAGACCCGGGAGAUGCCACAACCCCGAGGGAACCCGGAGAGCCCCGGAGCCGCGGCAGCCUGCCGGAGAGCAGCGAGGCAGCUGCAGGGGGCAGGCGGCCCGGCCCGCGGGGGGCUCCAGUUGCAGUUAAUUAAGAGCGAGGUUGUGUUCCCUGAAUCAACUGCCGGAGCGACGUGGCCACGAACCUUAAACCGAGGCCCGUGGAUGGCUGGUUUACAAAUAUCAGCUGUCCUCGUUCAGCGAGCACACACUCACUCCAAUGUGUAGGUGCCAACCCCAGCAAUCACACUGACAAGAAACCUGCUAGAGGCAAUAUAAAAGUGUAGAUUGAUCACAGGAUGAUCCAGUGGGACGGUAACUGAAGACCCACACAGAGCCACGAAGCCGUAAGCUUUAUCGAGGAGAGGAUGGAAAAAAAGACUAAACUUUAAUCCCUGACUCACAUAUUACAAGGAGCUAAUCGGGCGCAGCACAGAUUAGGACAUGACAAGUACAUGGCUAUGAAAUUUUGUUUCAAUAAUAAAAAAGGAUGGGGGGGGGUAACUAGAGAAGAGUGAAUUUCACUAGAAGAAGAAGAGUGCAACAUUUAUAUUUUACAAUUUUUUUAUAUCUCGCCUAAAUGUAUAUUCCCUCGCUUUAAUUCUGCGACUCCUUUUGUUUUUCCAACGUCGUUUGUAUUAUUAAAUAACAAAAUAUUUCGAUAACUUUAUUGGCCUUGAACACAGACAUUAAAAAAAUAAAUAAAUAAAUAAAUAAUGAAACGUAGUUUGUCAAAAAAAAAAAAAAAAAGCACUUUAACUACGGUCAUUGUGUCUGUAGUUCUGACAGCUGCUGUGCGAAGCAGGUGUCAGCCAGGCAUCUUUCUGUAUAAUUAAAGUAGUGGCAGAGGCCGCCCCCACCCAAACACAAGCCCUCCAGAUACUGCCCACACUAAUAUUACACAUUCACAGGUUGGUUGUGCCUAUCGGGUGGGGGGUGAAAGAGAAACUUUUUCAACCCACAGACAGAAAUCCAGCCCCACCGGGACGGAAGAAAAGACACUGGGAGGCCUGGCCUGCGAAGGGCUGUUUACCUUCUUCUGGGAAAGAACAUUUAGGAGGGCUUGUUUCUCCAUGAGGGCUGCCAAAAGAAGAAUUCAUCUCUUGUGCAGAUAGGCGGAUAACAAGGCCCCGGGACACACACACACACACACACACACACACACAGUGAAAUACGACGUGUCCCCUGGAGGGACGGGCGGUUUGCUGGAGUCAAAGGGCCCGACAUGAGAGGAGGGCUCACGGCCAUAAACUGAGCAGCUAGUAGAUGCUUCCUGUAGCCGGUUAGCUGAGGACAAGCUGUUAUAUAGGAUAUAUAACGGUGUGUCAGACCAAAAGGUAAAAUCUAUCAGGACGCGCCGGCUCUUUGUUGUGUAUCGGAGUGCAGGGACAUGGUUUAUUCAAGGGUCGUUGGCAACACGUUUAGAUCCUCAUUCUAAGCUAAUGUUUGGAGUAAAACGUGUUUAGUUGGACCUUUGGUGUGAUGCAUGUUAGGACGAGGACCGGAGAGAUCAAAUCCCAGCAACGUCAUCUAGUCAUCAUUCUUAACGGUUCUUAAUGGUUUAAAAGCACUGAAAGCAUUUGUAGAGCUGAGGGAAGCUGAAGGGGCAAAGUGCUUCUGCUUCACGUCACACAGCACCUUUCAGGAGCUUGAGCACCCUGCAAACGUCUUUAAUGUGGAGCUGCGAGAAAUCACCAAAGCAAACGGACCCGCGCACAACAUCAACCCGGGGGGCUUCGCCGUUAGCCCUCCGAAUCGGACGUGCAUGAAGCCACGCUGGGAAUUGUUCUGCUGAGAAAAAACGAAAUGGAAAAACAGCAACAUUCUAACAUCCACGGUAUCUUAACGGCUUCUGUCCGUCUGACUCAACACUGAGCAACAGGCCAACACUCACACGACCUCAUUUCAGGACACGGUUGGAGGUCGGGAAACAUGGAAACUGUGCUUCAUCGCGCGGUGCCUUCCUUUGCUGUACGCGGUCGACGCAGAACCCUGAAACGGUUAACAAGGCGCCGCGAGCGUCUCCUGUCUGCAGACUCCUUUUAGGGACUCACUGGCUGCAGACCGCAAUCUGCACGCCGGCCCGACAGCAGCGGGCUUCACGCGAGCCAACGGACCUGCGGGAGGCUAAACCCGAAGGUCACGACACGGCAGGAGGUGUCCUCAGAGGACGUCCCGCCUCCCGUAGCGGUGCGGUACUUUGUAGGGUCGGUGCCAGACAGGAUCUCGCUCUCUCUCUCCCCCUCCCUCGGAGAGACAGUUAAGCGAGGGGGAGGGGGGGUCAGUGUUUCCACACCGCCUUCAAAAAGAUGAGGCAGGCGCCAUCAAACGGAUUGAAUUAUUAAACCAGCCUCGUCCGGGUAUCCAGCAGAGUCCACCGGACCACUUUAUGAGGAGGAAACGGCUUGUUGUUCCGACUCCAUGAUGAAAGGGGGGGACAUAGCAGCGAAAUCCGCUGACUAGAAUAGAAGACAUUACUCUUCAUUAUGAAUAAAUUGGAGAAUGAGUGCACAGUUAGCUGUUUUUAGAGGGGAAACAAAAACAAUAAAUAUGAGAGACAGAAAGCCAGCCUAGUUUAUCAUCACAACAUGGAUGAAUAGAAAGCUCAAAAGACGCCAUCAGACUGUAUUAGAAAUCCCGUGAUGCCAAUAUUGCCAUUUAUCGAUUUGCAACAUGUCUCCCGGUUGCUUCCUUACAAACAGCGCUCCAUGACACACGUCGAUCAUCUCACGACGUGCAGCCACGUCCGAUCACCCAGACCUACGAAAAGGAUUCAAUGCCGUCUAAGCAAACAUCCUUCCCCUGGUCCUUCUCUGCUCCGCAUCCUGAUCCAUAAAGGAGCUAAACAGCGAGUUAUGGGAACACGGGCGGCCUAACAGAGGUAGCACCUGCCCACCGGUGGGAGAAGACCUUUCUCGGGACGCCUUUGCAUCGACGCUUGCUGCGGCCAGGAAGAGGAGGCGGAUGAAACGACGAAACGACGCGGGUGAAUACCGGAGAUCCAAAGAACGAGCGCUUCAAGCAGAUAUGGGUCUCCGCCAGGUCAGGACCUCACCGCUCCACCGAGCCACAGGGGAGGGGGGGGUGGCGGGGUCGAUGGCGUGGUCCACCUCUGGAACGGUAUGUGUCGUCAACGGGGGGACGCACAACGAAGUGAAGCAUGCAUCAAAGUCGGUCCAACCUUCUACGGUGCAACAGGUUGGACCUCUGGGCCUAAAAACAACAACAACAACAACACCACCACCAUCCCUCACGCUCUUUGAGCAUCAUCGCUCGUCCAGUUCAUUUCUUUUUUUGGAGGCUCUGCUUACAUUAGAUACCGAAAAACCAUUGUGCUCGAUUGUUGUUUAACACAACUUGGGAUUGGCGUGUGUUGUUCUAUACUAUUCUGCAACAUAUGUGUAAAAAAUGUGACGUUAAAAAGGUAAUGCAUGGGAGCAGCUGGAUUGUCCCAAACAAAAACAAAAAAGAAAACUGGUGCUCCCUGUCAAGGACAAACAAUUAGCAUGUUGUUGUUUUUCAAAAGUAGCCUUCGUAUACAACAACAUCAUUUGAAAUUGUAAUAAUACCAAUCCGAUAUUUGUCAAUAAAAGGACACACCUAAAGAAGAGAGGAGACUUUGAGCCACAUCAUCGCGCCCCAUAUGAGGAUAUUUCAAUAGUGCAAACAUCGCCACCAUUCAACACAUUCCACAGGCUCUUCAAUAGAACUCAACGUGACAUGGAACAGACGUUCAAAGCAGAGUUUGCAGAUCCUCUGAUGCGCCGUUUCAGCAACGCGCACGUACGAUGCACAAAAAAACAACGUAGUUAAGAUCGUUAGUAACUCUGCUAAAACCACGCGAGCGUGACAUUCCCCCGGACACGCUGCAGCCAGCGGGUCCCGGGUAACACGUUACACAACGCGCCGCUAGGAACAUCCCUUCUUACCUCUGGAGUGAGUGGCCUUUAUCAUUCGCUCGUACGUGGCCGGAACUAUUCCAUGUCCGCGCG
ensembl:lncRNA